GGGGGCGUAAUGGUUUCGACGGGGGAAUAGGUGGGUUGAGCAGCGAGCCGAGUUGUCGCCAGCUCGUUAAAAAGGUGAAACAACAAAUAACUGCAGAAGAUAAUUUUGCACUAGCCGCUUAAUGCGGCUCGUCCGGCUAAGACUCCUCACGGCUUAGUGCAGGGCGUCACACAGUGAGGGUACCCUGAAGCCUUCUUUCUCGAGGGGCUUUAAGGGGAAACUAAUCGGGGAUAGCUCUAAGAAGCCUGUUCGUGGGCGUCGGAUGAGCGAAACUCAAAUCACGGACUGCGCUCGGAGAAACUCUUCUGGUCUUUCUUUCGGACGGGGGUUCGACUCCCCCCGCCUCCACCA
rnacentral:tmRNA from 1 species